rnacentral:ncRNA from 1 species
GAACUGAAGAGUUUGAUCCUGGCUCAGAUUGAACGCUGGCGGCAUGCCUUACACAUGCAAGUCGAACGGCAGCACGGG